rnacentral:lncRNA from 1 species
UAAAAAAGAAGUUCCUCAUAAUGGAUGCCGACGAGGUAAAUCCCUGCCGCCAACAGCCACCCUCCUCACUGUGUCGCCACCACUCUUAUUUCAAACCAUCCAUGAUCCACCAACUACCUCACUGAUUCCCCUAUUAACGUUUCAGUUCUUGAUUUUUUAGUUCUUACAUUCAUUUCUUGUCUACAAAAAUGGGAUUUGUAAUGGUUGGGCUGAACUUCAACCAAAACCGACCAAUAUUCACCACAACAACUUGCAAUUAAAGAUAACCAGCUGGAAUUAACAACCCAAGCUGUGAUUUAUUAACAAAAUAAGGUUACAGUAAAGAAGAAAGACGAAGAGAAGUAGCAGAGAAAUUGGGGAAGAAGAAAGAGGUACAAUUUCAGACAAAUACCAAUUUGGCUGUGUUAACUUUCGUCCCCCAGUUAAGUACAGUAAGAGACGUGUUUUAUAACAAAAAACGUAUUCUUCUAUAACAAAAUAUACAAAUGAAACAGCGUCGCUCCUUUCACCCUUUAAUUGCCGGUUAAUUCCGUUUGCUUCUUUCCUUCUUCUUUCCCCAGCUGAAAUCUGGCUUCAAUUGUUCUUCUUCCUCAUCACAGGAUUUUGAUUCACAUUCUUAGUUGCUUUAUUUACAUUUUUACUCCGAUUCUUGGUAUUUUGUUUAUGUUGUUUGAUUUCAAAUUUCUUCAAUUGUUUUCCCAUUUUAACAAUUGGGCUAGAUUUUAG